rnacentral:misc_RNA from 1 species
CUGUCACGGCGGCCGUGCCGCCGCCGCCCGGGAGGUGCGUCACGCACUUGACCGAGCCCGCGGCCGCGGCGCCGUCCGCGGCGUCGGAGGUGGACGUCGCCUCCAGCGUCGACAGGUCGUGGAACGCCACGCACGCCGGCCGGGCCACGACGAGGCCGUGGGGGGAGUCCCCCGCCGCCGCGACGGCGGCGGCAGCGGACGGCGCGGACGGAGGGAGGAGCGUGGUGACGUGGACCAAGGACGCGGUGACGCUGCCGCCCGUCGCUGAGGAGAGCGAAGGGAGCGACGUCGUCGAGGACGACGCCUCCGACACGGCGGCCGCCGUCGCGGCGG